rnacentral:rRNA from 1 species
UGCGUAGGCGGGUCUUUAAGUCAGGGGUGAAAUCCUGGAGCUCAACUCCAGAACUGCCUUUGAUACUGAGGAUCUUGAGUACGGGAGAGGUGAGUGGAACUGCGAGUGUAGAGGUGAAACUCGUAGAUAUUCGCAAGAACACCAGUGGCGAAGGCGGCUCACUGGCCCGUUACUGACGCUGAGGCACGAAAGCUGGGGAGCAAACA